rnacentral:rRNA from 1 species
AACGAACGCUGGCGGCAUGCCUAACACAUGCAAGUCGAACGAGACCUUCGGGUCUAGUGGCGCACGGGUGCGUAACGCGUGGGAACCUGCCUUUAGGUUCGGAAUAACUCAGAGAAAUUUGAGCUAAUACCGGAUGAUGUCUUCGGACCAAAGAUUUAUCGCCUUUAGAUGGGCCCGCGUUGGAUUAGCUAGUUGGUGGGGUAAAGGCCUACCAAGGCGACGAUCCAUAGCUGGUCUGAGAGGAUGAUCAGCCACACUGGGACUGAGACACGGCCCAGACUCCUACGGGAGGCAGCAGUGGGGAAUAUUGGACAAUGGGCGAAAGCCUGAUCCAGCAAUGCCGCGUGAGUGAUGAAGGCCUUAGGGUGGUAAAGCUCUUUUACCCGAGAUGAUAAUGACAGUAUCGGGAGAAUAAGCUCCGGCUAACUCCGUG